GUCGAGCGCAGUCCUUCGGGACCGAGCGGCGGACGGGUUAGUAACGCGUGGGAAUAUACCCAGAUCUAAGGAAUAGCCUCGGGAAACUGAGAGUAAUACCUUAUACGCCCUUCGGGGGAAAGAUUUAUCGGAUUUGGAUUAGCCCGCGUUAGAUUAGAUAGUUGGUGGGGUAAUGGCCUACCAAGUCUACGAUCUAUAGCUGGUUUUAGAGGAUGAUCAGCAACACUGGGACUGAGACACGGCCCAGACUCCUACGGGAGGCAGCAGUGGGGAAUCUUAGACAAUGGGCGAAAGCCUGAUCUAGCCAUGCCGCGUGUGUGAUGAAGGCCCUAGGGUCGUAAAGCACUUUCGCCAGAGAUGAUAAUGACAGUAUCUGGUAAAGAAACCCCGGCUAACUCCGUGCCAGCAGCCGCGGUAAUACGGAGGGGGUUAGCGUUGUUCGGAAUUACUGGGCGUAAAGCGUACGUAGGCGGAUUAGUAAGUUAGGGGUGAAAUCCCGAGGCUCAACCUCGGAACUGCCUCUAAAACUGCUAGUCUUGAGUUCGAGAGAGGUGAGUGGAAUUCCGAGUGUAGAGGUGAAAUUCGUAGAUAUUCGGAGGAACACCAGUGGCGAAGGCGGCUCACUG
rnacentral:rRNA from 1 species